rnacentral:lncRNA from 1 species
GAAAAUGUUGUGUAAAACUAUUAUUUAUGUAGGGUAAAAGAAAAUUGCCAAUUGUAGGUACUUUUCAGAGAAUAAUUGACGGAGAUAGCGCAAGAAGGACAAAAGUUUUAACAAGUGAAGCGGACAAAAGUUCCAGCUAUGUCUAGAAUACUUAAAUGGCGAUCUCAGCUGCAGUAUGAUGAGCAUUGUAACACCCACUCUCGUGAAAUAUAAAUCGUAAUAAUACGUCAGGAUAGGCACUGCAGUUUUGCAUCUAUGAAGUACACCCCACUGCCUGCAAGAGUAGAAAUUCUUGACACGCCACAAGCCGCAUCAGAGUAGAGAUACCACAGAACAGACAACGCUAAAAGCUAAUGAGAUAGUAAAUCUGUGAGAGAUACGCAUUAGAGUAGGCCCUAAGCUGCAAAUUCCCUCUUCUAUAAAAAGCAUAAUCGCUCUGUAAAUAGGCUAAUGACCAUGCGAGUGUGUACACAGCUUAUAAACGAAGAUAUCGGGGAUUAGAGAUUGAGACGUUUAAUUGAUGACACAUAUAAAGCUUCUAUUUUUGUACCGUUAACACCUAUCGUAGUGUAGGUCCCCUUGGUCAUUGUAAUAUUUAAUUAUGUUCAAUUUGGCUGAUUGCCGACUCUACCUGAUAGGUAGCGUAACGCUUUGGCUACGAUCCAAGCGAUUACAUUCACUGAACUGUCAAAGAUAAGUUAUUUUCUACGGUUAUUUUAGUUAUCGCGACAUUGAAACUUUCGGUCUUUUGUCACCUCAUUGUGAGAUAAAUGUGUGUAAUUUAAAAUGUUUUGAGAACUGUAUAGUAUUAUUUACUCAUAUUUCAAAGUGUUAACGAAAUGUUUAAGUGUCUACUGUGUUUGUCUUUGAGAUAUUGAGAUUUAUUUCCAGGAAAAUCUCAGUAGUAGUUCGGUAUUGAAAAGUCGAUGGCUUUAAAAUCCAUUCUUGGAGAGCACGCAUAGUCCCAGUCAUUGUCAUCGUUACUCAAAUAUUAUCAUCCUAAGCCCGCUACUCCCCAUCAGAGCAGCUUAUUGGAUCUACUCUUAAACUGUUAGGAGUAAGUUUAAGAGUACUUAAGAGAGAGGCUUUGGAGUUACAGCACAUCAUCAUCAUCAUCAUCAGCUGAUAGACGUUCACUGCUGGACAUCCUCUUCCAUGGACCUCUAAGCAAAACGGUCUCGAGCCGCCAGCACCCAACGGCGGGUUGCAGCGAGCCACCGGAUCCUGGAGGCGCAUCAAAAUAUAUAAUGAUAAUAAUUAUUAACUGCCUAGUGUAUUAAAGUACAUUUUAAUUGCUAUUAAAGUACCAAGAAUAAUCUUCAAUCGAACGCCUAAUGUCAAAGAAAAUAUAUACAGCUCAUACAGAUAAUUACUACACCUCAUUAUGCAGUGGUAAUUAAUAAAGUUGUUCUGACACAUUGAAUUAAUAAUCAGCGAAUAGUAUACGUAUCUUUACUAAAUUGACUUGUGUUUUAUAUAUUAAUAAAUAAAACUGAAGUAUUUUCCUAUGGUUCACAAUAAUUAUAUUUUUUCUAGGCGUGGCUAUCGUGGGGUUAAUAUAAGCAAUAUUAACCCCACGAUACUAAAAACACAAAUAAGUUUUUCUCUGCGGGUUAAUUUACUGUAACCGGAAAAUUUAAUAUUUAGGGAACGUAUCAUAAAUGAGCCUAAAAGUUUAAACCAAUGGAAGCAAUAUAGUAAUCAGUGUUUAACCACAUGCGGUCUCUUAUUACAUACUAUCAUUACCUAUUAUUAAGCUCAUUUAAAAAUUAUAGCGAAUUUAAUGUUUAAACAACUAAUUGGUGGCUGAUAUAUGAGUAAAAGCCAAUUAAAUUCAACUUACAAAAUCAAAAUCGUUUCCGAUGAAAAACAGCAAAUUUUGUAAUUUUAACUCAAGUUUCUAUAAAGUGUUUGUUAGCACAAAACUACUAAUUAGAUGCUACUGGGAUCGCUUGGCAUUUUCUUGGGGAAUUUAAAUCGCUUUGCAUUAUUAAAGUUCAUAAGGAUAAGACGAAAGACGAACACUCUGAUCAAGUUAAUUAUAACAAGUCAAAGGUUUAAUUAAAAGCUCUGUCAGUCAGAACGCAAGCAAGGUAUAAAUGGAAACAAAAUUAUAAACUUAACAUUUAUUCGUAGUUUAAAUGAGAAGACAUCGCGAGAGGAAUGCGGACGGCUCUCAAUCACACAAUCGUGUUGGCUGUUCAGUUAUAGCGAGCGCAGGUCAGAUCACGACAAGGAAAUCCUGUAA